rnacentral:rRNA from 1 species
CCUACGGGAGGCAGCAGUAGGGAAUCUUCCGCAAUGGACGAAAGUCUGACGGAGCAACGCCGCGUGAACGAUGAAGGCCUUCGGGUCGUAAAGUUCUGUUGUUAGGGAAGAACAAGUGCUAGUUGAAUAAGCUGGCACCUUGACGGUACCUAACCAGAAAGCCACGGCUAACUACGUGCCAGCAGCCGCGGUAAUACGUAGGUGGCAAGCGUUGUCCGGAAUUAUUGGGCGUAAAGCGCGCGCAGGCGGUUUCUUAAGUCUGAUGUGAAAGCCCCCGGCUCAACCGGGGAGGGUCAUUGGAAACUGGGAAACUUGAGUGCAGAAGAGGAAAGUGGAAUUCCAAGUGUAGCGGUGAAAUGCGUAGAGAUUUGGAGGAACACCAGUGGCGAAGGCGACUUUCUGGUCUGUAACUGACGCUGAGGCGCGAAAGCGUGGGGAGCAAACAGGAUUAGAUACCCUGGUAGUCCACGCUGUAAACGAUGAGUGCUAAGUGUUAGAGGGUUUCCGCCCUUUAGUGCUGAAGUUAACGCAUUAAGCACUCCGCCUGGGGAGUACGGUCGCAAGACUGAAACUCAAAAUGAAUUGACGG